CGGCGGCGGCGGCAUUAGCUAACUUCUUAAAAGCUUUAUAUUUUAGAAGAUGGAAGACCUGGAUGCUUCAUACUUUGUAUAUGGAUGCCUCAUGUUACGAAGUUUCCGUCAGUCACAUGUCCAAUGUCCUUGACCUCAUUUUCAUGGUUCAGUGACUACUUGAAAAAAAAGUUCAGAUUUUUUGUAAUGUUAAAUUCUCUCUUAUUAUAAGUAAUAGGAUAACUAUAUUUGGUAUGUGCGUACCUUGCAAGGUCCUCAUGCCCGUCAGACAGUUUUCACUUGACCUCGACCUCAUUUCAUGGAUCAGUGAACAAGGUUAAGUUUUCGUGGUCAAGUCCAUAUCUCAGAUACUAUAAGCAAUAGGUCUAGUAUAUUCGGUGUAUGGAAGGACUGUAAGGUGUACAUGUCCAACUGGCAGGUGUCAUCUGACCUUGACCUCAUUUUCAUGGUUCAGUGGUCAAAGUUAAGUUUUUGAGUUUUGGUCUUUCUUUCUAAUACUGCAUGCAAUAGGUCAGCUAUAUUUGGUGUAUGGAAUGAUUGUAAGGUGUACAUGUCUAGCUGGCAGGUGUCAUCUUACCUUGACCUCAUUUUCAUGGUUCAGUGGUCAAAGUUAAGUUUUUGAGUUUUGGUCUUUUUUUCUAAUACUAUAUGCAAUAGUUCAACUAUAUUUGGUGUAUGGAAAUAUUUUAUGAUCUAUAUGUCAGUUACGCAGGUUUUAUUUGACCUUGACCUCAUUUUCAAGGUUCAUUGCUCAGUGUUAAGUUUUUGUGUUUUCGUCUGUUUUUCUUAAACUAUAAGCAAUAGGUCAACUAUAUUUGUUGUAUGGAAGAAUUGUUAGCUGUACAUGCCUGCCUAGCAUGGUUCAUCUGACCUUGACCUCAUUUUCAUGGUUCAUUGGUCAAUGUUUAGUUUACUUGGUUAAUGUUAAGUUUAUGUGACAGUUGUAAUAAAGCUUUAUAUUUAGGACUAUCAACAUAAUAUCAAUGAUUAGUAAAGAAGGCGAGACAUUUCAGCGUGUGCACUCUUGUUAAUAUAUUAAAAUGUUUAUUCAAACGCAAUCAAAAAUUGUUUUGUCCAUAUAUGAUCAAAUAUGAUUUUAUGAAUUUUAUGGUCAAUAAUUUCUUUAUCUUUGUCGAGCCUAUGACUUUUGUCGAAAAAGCGAGACAUAGCGAUCCUACAUUCCGUCUUCGUCGGCGGCAGCGGCGUCCACAAAUAUUCACUCUGUGGUUAAAGUUUUUGAAAUUUUAAUAACUUUCUUAAACUAUCCUGGAUUUCUACCAAACUUGGACAGAAGCUUGUUUAUGAUCAUAAGAUAAUAUCCAAAAGUAAAUUUUGUAAAAAAAAAAAAAAAAAA